rnacentral:rRNA from 1 species
AGCGAACGCUGGCGGCAGGCCUAACACAUGCAAGUCGAACGAACCUUUCGGGGUUAGUGGCGGACGGGUGAGUAACACGUGGGAACGUGCCUUUAGGUUCGGAAUAACUCAGGGAAACUUGUGCUAAUACCGAAUGUGCCCUUCGGGGGAAAGAUUAAUCGCCUUUAGAGCGGCCCGCGUCUGAUUAGCUAGUUGGUUGAGGUAAUGGCUCACCAAGGCGACGAUCAGUAGCUGGUCUGAGAGGAUGAUCAGCCACAUUGGGACUGAGACACGGCCCAAACUCCUACGGGAGGCAGCAGUGGGGAAUCUUGCGCAAUGGGCGAAAGCCUGACGCCGCCAUGCCGCGUGAAUGAUGAAGGUCUUAGGAUUGUAAAAUUCUUUCACCGGGGACGAUAAUGACGGUACCCGGAGAAGAAGCCCCGGCUAACUUCGUG